rnacentral:rRNA from 1 species
GGGUUGUGAGGUUAAGCGACUAAGCGUACACGGUGGAUGCCCUGGCAGUCAGAGGCGAUGAAGGACGUGCUAAUCUGCGAUAAGCGUCGGUAAGGUGAUAUGAACCGUUAUAACCGGCGAUUUCCGAAUGGGGAAACCCAGUGUGAUUCGUCACACUAUCAUUAACUGAAUCCAUAGGUUAAUGAGGCGAACCGGGGGAACUGAAACAUCUAAGUACCCCGAGGAAAAGAAAUCAACCGAGAUUCCCCCAGUAGCGGCGAGCGAACGGGGAGGAGCCCAGAGCCUGAAUCAGUGUGUGUGUUAGUGGAAGCGUCUGGAAAGGCGCGCGAUACAGGGUGACAGCCCCGUACACAAAAAUGCACAUGCUGUGAGCUCGAUGAGUAGGGCGGGACACGUGGUAUCCUGUCUGAAUAUGGGGGGACCAUCCUCCAAGGCUAAAUACUCCUGACUGACCGAUAGUGAACCAGUACCGUGAGGGAAAGGCGAAAAGAACCCCGGCGAGGGGAGUGAAAAAGAACCUGAAACCGUGUACGUACAAGCAGUGGGAGCACGCUUAGGCGUGUGACUGCGUACCUUUUGUAUAAUGGGUCAGCGACUUAUAUUCUGUAGCAAGGUUAACCGAAUAGGGGAGCCGAAGGGAAACCGAGUCUUAACUGGGCGUUAAGUUGCAGGGUAUAGACCCGAAACCCGGUGAUCUAGCCAUGGGCAGGUUGAAGGUUGGGUAACACUAACUGGAGGACCGAACCGACUAAUGUUGAAAAAUUAGCGGAUGACUUGUGGCUGGGGGUGAAAGGCCAAUCAAACCGGGAGAUAGCUGGUUCUCCCCGAAAGCUAUUUAGGUAGCGCCUCGUGAAUUCAUCUCCGGGGGUAGAGCACUGUUUCGGCAAGGGGGUCAUCCCGACUUACCAACCCGAUGCAAACUGCGAAUACCGGAGAAUGUUAUCACGGGAGACACACGGCGGGUGCUAACGUCCGUCGUGAAGAGGGAAACAACCCAGACCGCCAGCUAAGGUCCCAAAGUCAUGGUUAAGUGGGAAACGAUGUGGGAAGGCCCAGACAGCCAGGAUGUUGGCUUAGAAGCAGCCAUCAUUUAAAGAAAGCGUAAUAGCUCACUGGUCGAGUCGGCCUGCGCGGAAGAUGUAACGGGGCUAAACCAUGCACCGAAGCUGCGGCAGCGACACUAUGUGUUGUUGGGUAGGGGAGCGUUCUGUAAGCCUGUGAAGGUGUACUGUGAGGUAUGCUGGAGGUAUCAGAAGUGCGAAUGCUGACAUAAGUAACGAUAAAGCGGGUGAAAAGCCCGCUCGCCGGAAGACCAAGGGUUCCUGUCCAACGUUAAUCGGGGCAGGGUGAGUCGACCCCUAAGGCGAGGCCGAAAGGCGUAGUCGAUGGGAAACAGGUUAAUAUUCCUGUACUUGGUGUUACUGCGAAGGGGGGACGGAGAAGGCUAUGUUGGCCGGGCGACGGUUGUCCCGGUUUAAGCGUGUAGGCUGGUUUUCCAGGCAAAUCCGGAAAAUCAAGGCUGAGGCGUGAUGACGAGGCACUACGGUGCUGAAGCAACAAAUGCCCUGCUUCCAGGAAAAGCCUCUAAGCAUCAGGUAACAUCAAAUCGUACCCCAAACCGACACAGGUGGUCAGGUAGAGAAUACCAAGGCGCUUGAGAGAACUCGGGUGAAGGAACUAGGCAAAAUGGUGCCGUAACUUCGGGAGAAGGCACGCUGAUAUGUAGGUGAAGUCCCUCGCGGAUGGAGCUGAAAUCAGUCGAAGAUACCAGCUGGCUGCAACUGUUUAUUAAAAACACAGCACUGUGCAAACACGAAAGUGGACGUAUACGGUGUGACGCCUGCCCGGUGCCGGAAGGUUAAUUGAUGGGGUCAGCGCAAGCGAAGCUCUUGAUCGAAGCCCCGGUAAACGGCGGCCGUAACUAUAACGGUCCUAAGGUAGCGAAAUUCCUUGUCGGGUAAGUUCCGACCUGCACGAAUGGCGUAAUGAUGGCCAGGCUGUCUCCACCCGAGACUCAGUGAAAUUGAACUCGCUGUGAAGAUGCAGUGUACCCGCGGCAAGACGGAAAGACCCCGUGAACCUUUACUAUAGCUUGACACUGAACAUUGAGCCUUGAUGUGUAGGAUAGGUGGGAGGCUUUGAAGUGUGGACGCCAGUCUGCAUGGAGCCGACCUUGAAAUACCACCCUUUAAUGUUUGAUGUUCUAACGUUGACCCGUGAUCCGGGUUGCGGACAGUGUCUGGUGGGUAGUUUGACUGGGGCGGUCUCCUCCUAAAGAGUAACGGAGGAGCACGAAGGUUGGCUAAUCCUGGUCGGACAUCAGGAGGUUAGUGCAAUGGCAUAAGCCAGCUUGACUGCGAGCGUGACGGCGCGAGCAGGUGCGAAAGCAGGUCAUAGUGAUCCGGUGGUUCUGAAUGGAAGGGCCAUCGCUCAACGGAUAAAAGGUACUCCGGGGAUAACAGGCUGAUACCGCCCAAGAGUUCAUAUCGACGGCGGUGUUUGGCACCUCGAUGUCGGCUCAUCACAUCCUGGGGCUGAAGUAGGUCCCAAGGGUAUGGCUGUUCGCCAUUUAAAGUGGUACGCGAGCUGGGUUUAGAACGUCGUGAGACAGUUCGGUCCCUAUCUGCCGUGGGCGCUGGAGAACUGAGGGGGGCUGCUCCUAGUACGAGAGGACCGGAGUGGACGCAUCACUGGUGUUCGGGUUGUCAUGCCAAUGGCACUGCCCGGUAGCUAAAUGCGGAAGAGAUAAGUGCUGAAAGCAUCUAAGCACGAAACUUGCCCCGAGAUGAGUUCUCCCUGACUCCUUGAGAGUCCUGAAGGAACGUUGAAGACGACGACGUUGAUAGGCCGGGUGUGUAAGCGCAGCGAUGCGUUGAGCUAACCGGUACUAAUGAACCGUGAGGCUUAACCUUACAACGCCGAAGGUGUUU